UAGGUAUGGGGCUCUAUAGUUGAUAUUGGAUAUAGAUUGAUGUAUGACACGGACUAUCCUUUGCCUUUAGGGGAAUGAGCUCCUGAGAUCCACAGGUUAGGCGUAAACCAUCAGAAGAAAUUGACAUCCAACAGUACACAUUAUGACAAAUGCCAAGAAGGAAACUAACUGACUCCACCAGUUACUAGACCUGAUCUGGGGAGAUGACAUCAAUAGUUUCAUUUAAUCUGCCCAGUGGCCCUACAAGGUUCAUUUAUAAACUCGACUCCUCGCUGAUGGCCCCAGUCUUUCUGAUCCACACCCCCUUCAUUCCAGGAAAACUGAAAGUCCCAGGUACAAUUAGGCUUAUCAGCACAAGGGACAAAGACCCUGUAAAAGAAUGACUAAUUGGUCGAAGGAACCAAAGGCUGAAGUGAAGAAUCACCUUUUAAAGUGGAACUUCUCCUUGACUUCACUUGUAAAAGCCCUGCCGAACAUUGACGGCAUAGAAACCAGGGAGGGCAAGGAAGCAGUGUGUCAUUUCCCCUACACCUUCAGAGAUAAUGGUCCAUGCUGAUCUGUGAUUUAUUUCUUGUACCAAAAGCUC
rnacentral:lncRNA from 1 species